rnacentral:rRNA from 1 species
UACGAAGGGUGCAAGCGUUAAUCGGAAUUACUGGGCGUAAAGGGUGCGUAGGCGGUUAGUUAAGUCUGUUGUGAAAUCCCCGAGCUCAACUUGGGAAUUGCAGUGGAUACUGGCAGGCUGGAGUAUGGUAGAGGAAGGUGGAAUUCCCGGUGUAGCAGUGAAAUGCGUAGAGAUCGGGAGGAACACCAGUGGCGAAGGCGGCCUUCUGGACCAAUACUGACGCUCAUGCACGAAAGCGUGGGGAGCAAACAGG